ACUUCUGACAUCAUCUUCAACCAUGGCCUGGUUGCCUCUUCUUCUCAUCUUCUCCUCUUCCUUUAUGGGAAUUUGUUCUCAAGUUGUCCUCACUCAACCAGAAUCUGUGUCUGGAUCUCCUGGAGGGACAAUCCGAAUCACUUGUACUAAAAACAGUGGAACACUUAGUGGAAGAGAUACCUCCUGGUAUCAACAGAAGCCUGGAAAUGCCCCCAAACUCCUUAUAUAUUAUGAUAGUAACAGACCCUCUGGAAUCCCAGAACGAUUCUCCGGAUCUCUUGAAAACUCUGAAACAUCUGCCGUGUUAACUAUCUCCAAUCUUCAGGCAGAGGAUGAAGGUGAUUAUUAUUGCCUGUAUCAUGUAAGUGGUGGCAAGUGCACAGUGCUACAAUCCCAUUGA